AGUUCUGUGAGGAUGUGCAGUAUCAAGAUGGGAUUGCAAACUACGCGGUUAAAUGUCCUCCCAACACUGUUGGAGGUGUGGUCAGGAUAACGAAUCACAAUCAAGUCCUGGCCCUCUGUGAGGUGAGGGUUUUGGGAAAUGAUUCGGUCAACAAGUGCAAUUCAGAUGAAUAAAAAGUAUAAGCGAGGACGAUCGGAGUCUGGAGCAUUGGAGGACAAGGAAACAAUUAGAUUAGAAGAUAAAUAUACAGACUUUCAACUGCAUGCCAUUUUGGAUAUCUUUGAAAAUUAUUUCAUUACUUUACUUGAGAA